UGGGGAAUAUUGCACAAUGGGCGAAAGCCUGAUGCAGCAACGCCGCGUGAGGGAUGACGGCCUUCGGGUUGUAAACCUCUUUUAGUAGGGAAGAAGCGAAAGUGACGGUACCUGCAGAAAAAGCACCGGCUAACUACGUGCCAGCAGCCGCGGUAAUACGUAGGGUGCAAGCGUUGUCCGGAAUUAUUGGGCGUAAAGAGCUCGUAGGCGGUUUGUCGCGUCUGCUGUGAAAUCCCGAGGCUCAACCUCGGGUCUGCAGUGGGUACGGGCAGGCUAGAGUGUGGUAGGAGAGAUUGGAAUUCCUGGUGUAGUGGUGGAAUACGCAGAUAUCAGGAG
rnacentral:rRNA from 1 species